ACAUUCCAGCACACUCUUCUGCCAGCAAAGGGAGUUUUGAGAAGAGGAAAGUUACAAGAAGUUAGACUAUUGUUUUCAAUUUCAGAAACACUCAAGGUUACAAGUGAAAUUCUGAGACAAUCUGGAUGGCUGUGAAAAAAUUUUCUAAAGGGGGAGGGGAGACCUCUUUGUGGAAAAAUCACUCCUACCAAUGGUAAACGUCUUCAUCCAGGAAUCAAGAGUCCGAGACUAUUCUUGGAGUUUGAGUCCAUUGAGUUUUCGAAGUCUAAAGCAGAAUUCUCUAAAAUGGAUAUGCUUUUGUCAUAAGCACAAUAGUCACAAAAUCAAAAUCAUAGGAAGAGACAUAUCUUGGAUUUGAUCAAUCCUCCCCACGCCUCUCAAAACAUCUCUUUUUCUAAUGUCAAGGAAACAGGAACUCAUUGUAAUUCAUUUGGAAAAUACAGGAAAGCAUAUCAAGAAAGAGAAAAUCUAUCCUUCACUGCAUCAGCCAGAAAGAACCACUGAGAACAUUUGUUUUCUCCUUCCUCCCACCUCUCUCCACCACUUUCACACCGUAUAGAGUGUUUUUGCAGUCUAUUUUUAAUUUUUUUAAAUACGACAAUUUCCAUGUCAUUACAUAUUUUUAAAGAUUUUAUUUAUUUACUUAUUUAUUUGAAAAAGAAAGCACGAGGGUGCGGGGAGGGAGACGAACAAGCAGAGCAUGGAGCAAGCCCUGCGCAGGGCUCAAUCUCACAACCCUGAGAUCAUGACCUGAGCUGAAGCCAAGAGUCUGGGGCUGGCUCUACUGACUGAGUCACCCAGGCGUCCCUCUGUCAUUAAAUAUUUUAAGGAAACAGUGUGACGGCUACAUUAUAGGUUUUGCGUUGUUUAUGUAAAUAAACUCUUACUGUUCAUAGUUUGUGUUGUUUUCUACUUUUUGCUAUAAUAAAUAGAAGUUUGAUGUGCCCUUGUCAAAUUGACAUACAUUUUGGUAAGUAGGGCACCUCAUAGACCUCUGAUUCUUUCCUUGGGGUAAAUUUCUUUUUUGGGGCGGGGUGUAAAUUUCUAUUACUGGAAAAGUGGGCCCAAGAAUGUGAACACUUAUAGGGUUUUAGAUCUGUAUUGCAAGAUUGCGUUCUAGAAAUGUUGCAUCCAAAAUUUCCACCACCAGCAGCACUCAAUUUUGGGCCAGAUAACUUAAAAAUACAUCUAUCAAUUUUUCAGGUAAAUUUCCACAUUUUAUCAGACAAAUUUAAUUUCUGAAGGGCUUUGAAGCCAGAGGUAAGAAACAAACAAACAAAGCCAAAUGAAAUCAAGGAGGAAAAAAAAAAAAGAAAGAAAUCAAGGAGGGACAUUGAUGCCCAACUGAAUGAAUCACGCUGUAGAGACUAUUUCAGGGACUGAGGAGAGGUCCUGUUUGUCUUGUAAAGUUUUUUUUUAAUUUUAAAAAAUAUUUUAUUUAUUUAUUCAUAAGAGACACAGAGAGAGAGGAGAGACACAGGCAGAGGGAGGAUAAGCAGGCUCCAUGCAAAGAGCCCGAUGUGAGAUCCCGGGAUCACGUCCUGAGCGGAAGGCAGAUGCUCAAUUGCUGAGCCACCCAGGCGUCCCUGUCUUGUAAAGUUUAUGGGAAUUUCAAAAUAUAAGAAACUGAAGCACAGAAAUGUUAAGAAAUUUGCCCAAGUAACACAGCCAGUAAGUAGUGCAGAUGAGAUUCAACAUAUUAUUGUAACACUGGAGUCCAGACUCUUACCACUGACCCAGGGACAAUUUGCACUUAGUAUCUCAUCAAAUCUAAAGUUUCCAGAACAUUCUUUGUCAUGAGCUUAUUGUCCAGAAGUUGCCUUUUGUAGCCUUUACCUUUUUAACCAGCAAAUGAGAAUAAUCUCAGAUUAUGUACGAAGGGAAAAUUUAUCUUGGAAGAAGGUGGCACUCAACUAUUGAGAAGCACAUUCAUACAUCUUAUUUCUAGGAUAUGCCAGAAAUAGAAGAGAAAUAAUUUGCUUGCGGUCACCCAGUUUGCAGCUGGUUGCAUCAGGACUAGAAUCCAGGCUCUGGUGAUUCUUUGGCUAUUGCCUAUAGUGUUUUCUCUGCCAGCAAAUAUCCUCUGUGGGCAAGUGAAGAUUUGCCUAAGGCCCAUAGAGCCUUAAAGUUUCAUGGGGUUAGUGUCUAGCAACUGGGAUUUCCCUCUCCAGGAGAAGUCUGAAGGGGAAGUGGCACAGCUGGGUUAGUGGGAUGUGGGUUGCAGCACCAUGAGGGGCUUAGCACCCUGAGUUUAGGUGUGGGCAGGCAGAGAUGAUCCUCUCUCAGGGAAAGACCUGCCAGUCCAGUGAGUCACUUUCAAGCGGAAAUCUCAGGCAGGAGUGAUUAUUACUAAGGGUAGAGACUGUUGCUGGCCUUCUGGGGAGGGGAUUCCUGCAUUGAAUGGAAGGCUGAACCAGAUAACCUCUGGGGCCCUUCUAGCUCCCGACCUCUCUGAUUUGUAUGUGUUGGAGUAAAGAAGUGAGCAGUCACGGGACUGGAAUAGUUGAUUUAGGGUCCCACCCCAGUCGCCAGUGGAGUUCUCAUCUUGGGCAAAUAAUUUAACCUGUCAGUACAAGGCACAAUGCCUGGCCCAGAGUAAAGCUUUGUAAAUGUUUGCUGAAUGAAUGAACGAAAGAAUGGAGGAUGGAUUUAAGUCUCCCAAGUCCGGAGGAAUAUUGGUGAAUAUUGGAUUCUUACAGUGCCCUUUGAUUAUUGUGGAGUUUGAAUGAGACUAUGUAAACUAUAUAUUGAACUUCUUAAACUAUAUGUUGAACUUCUUAAAAGGAAAUUUGAUCUGCCAAACCCAAAGGGAUUCUAAUUCAUUCUUAUACUGGCAAAGGAUAGAAAUAUAACAUACCAGCCUCAGGAAGCCUACUUCGCAGUGGUCAGUUUUGAGCCCACACCAAACUCUCUAUUUCAUUAAUCCCUCCUGUCGCCAAAUGGGGCAGCUCAAAGCCUCCCAGAACAGGGUGGGGCAGCCAGAUCGCAUCCCUCCCUCCACCCCCGCCCCGGAUAAAUGCCGAGGUCUAAUGGAUUGUUCAAGCUGCUGUCCAGAUUAGAUAGCAAGCCCCUUCGUUAUCGCGGCUGGAGCAAACUCGGGCGGCCACUAGGAUGAGAGCUUUCUAAAGGCAGCCCCGAGAAGCCUGGGGAAUCCAGAGGGCAAGAGAGAGCAGAGAGCUGCUGACAAAUCCUGGGGCCCCAAGGCUGUUUCCACAGAGCGCCUCUUCCCAGAACUUGCCCCGACCCUAAAUCCUGCCCCUACUCCCAUAGCAUUUAAGGAAGCAGGUAUCCGAUGCGAUUGGUUGUUACUAAGACAGUAACUUGUAGAUUCUGCUUGUUAACCUCAGAGAAGGUGGGAACACUUGAAUGACACCCCCCCCCCUUGAUACCAGAGAGAUGCUUUUGCACAGUGAUGACUGCAUCAGAAGGGCUGUACCUUUCCUCAUUUUUUGUUGUUCCUGAGUCACUGCAGGGGAAGCAGAGCUGACUUUCUGAUUCUCCCUUCCUAAUUCUCCAUGGUCAAGUUUUUACCGGUUAAUGACCCUGUUUUUUUAAGGAAAAGUUUCUUUAGAGUUUUAAGUUUCUUAAAUAAACCUUAAGGUUUUUUUUUCUUAUGAGCUAUUUUUGUCUUCAGUCAUUAUCCAAAAGCAAAAAAAAUCUACUAUUUAUCAACACUUAUAAAAAUAAAAUUUCAUAUACGCUCUCACAACAAAUUCUACAUAAAACAAUGAUAAAUGCUCAAAUCAUUAUUUAUCUACAAGGAUAUACUAAUUGUUCUAUCAUUAUUAUGAUAGAGCUACUGUGAUAUAACAGAAAGCAAAUAAAAUCUUAGCUGGUGAACAAGGAAAAGUUAUCUAUUUAUGCCAUAUCAAUUUCCUGUUAAAUCUUACAGUUAGUGAAAAGCCAUAAUAAAUGGUGUGGCAGGACAAAUCAUCUGGCUCAGUAUGAAAUGUUUCUACAACAUUAAAAAAAAAACUCUGCAUCAUGUUUUCUUUCUUUCUUUCUUUCUUUCUUUCUUUCUUUCUUUCUUUCUUUUUUUUAGUGAAUCAAUCUUGGUAGACAUCCACCUAUGAAAAUGAUUGUAUAGUGUGGUAUUUUAGAGGUGGAAAUUUAAGACCUUUCUUAAGGGCAAACAACACAGCUACUGUGUAGUUUAAUAUCCAGAAAUUAAGAUAAGUCGCCAACAGGAUGGCUUCUGAUUCACCCAAUAAGACAUCGUUAUCCAGUGAGUUCUGCAUGCAAGGAUCACACUCAAAUUAAUUUAAAAACGAAUUUACCAUGAGGAGUAAGGAUCUACGGUUGGGAUGAGAAAAGAGCAAGCGAGAGUCGGGGGAUUUUGGAUUUUAAAGGUGGCACGAAUAUCUGGGAGCACCCCGGAGUCACUAAAAUCAGCCAGGUCUGCAGCCGCCAAGGACCGGCAAAAGAGAAAGGUACUCAGGUAAAAAAAAAAAAAAAAAAAAAAAA
rnacentral:lncRNA from 1 species